AUGUACCACUCGUACACUCCGGUUCCUGUGCGCCGUCCACGCCCACCUGACGACCGCUCGCUACGUUUUGUUAGCC
rnacentral:sRNA from 2 species